rnacentral:rRNA from 1 species
UGCCAGCCCUCUCUCACAUUUACAUGCCUGUCGCAAGAAGGCUUCGAGCUUAGUGAGCGCACGGGUGCGUAACGCGUGGAAUCUGCCCUUGGGUACGGAAUAACUCAGAGAAAUUUGUGCUAAUACCGUAUAAUGACCUUCGUGUUCCAAACUGACUUUACUCUGCCCAAGUGACUGACGGCCCUGCUGUAACGACUUACUGCUACGUUUGUGUUGUGUGUGUAACAACUGCUACCAAGUGGCGACUGACUCUCUUUACGGCCUUGUGUUCUUGACGACGGUGACUUGAUUCAGCCACAACUUGUGUGAACUUGAUGGAACACUGGCACCCUAGAACAUCCCCUACCGUGUGGAUGGUGGCCAUGGCAAUGUUGUGUGUGGACACUUAAUAUUGUGCACCAAAAUUGGGGUGCCUGAAAAGAAGCCCAUUGAAUUCCCCCAGGCCAAUUGCCCCCGCCGGUUUGAAAGGUUUGCACUUGGAAAUGGUGGCCUAUACGGUGGGGUUCUUGGUUCUAUAGCAAGGCUUACGUUAUAUCAACCCCCCUGUGGUGGCAAUUGCAUUCGAAUUUGCAACCGAGGGUUCACCACUUGGGAGCAUGCCACAAUCACAAGCCGUCCCCUGUGGCCUUAUCAAACUUCCCCAGAUUUGACCCCAAAGGCACC